AUAGACACAGGUCAUUCUCCUUCUUUGCCGAUCUACUCUCCUGUAACGUUUUCUUCCUCAUUCAGACCUAAUAAUAAAGUAUCACCAUCAAAUCUCUCCCUCAACUUCGACCAUAAAUAUCCUCUCCCAACCUCCAUGGCAAAUCCAUAAAUUGUUAUACUAUAAAUACAAAUGAAGACUGUUCGUAAUCUUCUACGAAUGUAAACAACAGAGGAUGGAGGGUUUGCUCAGAGAAAUUUGUAGGCUUUUCACAAUCUUGGAAUGCACUUGUCGAGAUUGCAUGGAUGUUGAAGGCGAAAUUAUGUUAUCCAAAAGGUAACAGCUGUGGCAUUCAAAUCUUUUCAUUGUAAAUGGCUUGAUGUGUAACGACAUUGUACUCAUGUGUUCUUCUAUUUUUCUUUUAUUUUUAAUUUUUGAGCAUGGUACAAACCAACAGACACAAAACUCGAUGAACAAGUUAUUGACCAUGUUUUGACUCUCUCUCUCUCUCUCUCUCUCUCUCUCUCUCUACAAAUGUAUGGCUGCCGGGUUAUCCAAAAGCAUGCUCUAAUGGUGCAAGAGCUUGAUGGUUAGUCUUGAAAUGUGUUCAUGAUCAAAAGGUGUACAGAGCAUCUUCCUCAGGAUUGUGUACAGUUCAUUCUUUCCUCAUUUUAUGAAAACGCCUUGGCUCUUUCAACACACCCUUAUUUAUGUCGUGUGAUCAAGAACCUACAUGUACUUCACUGGAAUCAAAACUGAUGGUACUGGAGCAAAAUGAUGACAUAGAGAUACAACCGGUCAUUAUGAAGGAAAUCAUGCAUUCAGUUUGCAUUCUAGCUCAAGAUAGUACAGAAGUUAUGUUAUUCAGAUUAUGACGAGGAGUCAACAUAAGUUAGCUUCGAAUGUUUUUGGAAAGUGCUUAACAUUGGGGGUCUAGAGGCACGUCAGAUCCUAGGGAGUGAGAUGCCUGGAAAAUCUGAUGGAAAUGAGCCUCUUUAGUGAUGAAGAAUCCAUUUGGGAACUACGUAAUGCAAAAGGUUCUUGAAAGUCUAGCACUCAUUAUCUCUCACAUCAAAGUCCACUUAAAUGCCUUGAAGAGAUGCACAUUGUUACCCGUUUCGAGAAAAUUGUCAGCACUGGAGAUAUUUUCUGGAAUUUCAUGGAAUGAUGCAUUCCAAACAAAUUCAUUCCACAAAAUGACAUUCCAGUUGCAGCCUUAGAAGGAAAAGUAAUGAACGGUUUAGAUUAUUAUGUUAUGUUGUAACGUGUACCGUAAAACAGUUCUGGCGAUAAAAGCUUUGUCAACUCACUGGGAUUUGUCCCACCAUAUGAACGGGAUAUUAAACCACAAAAGUACAGUUUUUAUUUUUUUUUGUAACAUGCAAAAUACAAAAUACAGUUUUUUUUUAACGCUCGAUUUUAUUAUUAAGCCUUUAAGGCAAAUAGUUCUAAACAAUGAGAACUAUCAAAACAAAAGUAGAAAAGGGAUAUGCCAGUAGGGUCCUAAAGUAAAAUAACACACAUCUUGCGUAUGGAUAACUAAAGAUUUUCACAUAAAACUCCAUAUUUGCUUUUGGAAUAGCUGAAUCUCAAGAGAGACUAUCUUCGUAUUAAUCCAAAAACACCACGCUUCGUACUGAAUUGAGAACGAUUGUCACUCUCUUUUUAGUACUCCAGUAGGAGCCACUGAGACAAGACAACUCUUUAUAUUGCUUCAUUGCUAAUAAUAGAGUCAAAGAGAUUACCGUUCCAUAGAAUUUGAUACUAUUUUUUGAAGUAACCAUAGUUUGCAGCAAGAACUCCAUCACCAUCAUAUGAGGAACCAUCAACGAUUGAAGCCGGUAAGACCCGUCGCCACCAUCCGCAGUAGAUCUGUCAAUUACUUUUUCUAAACGGUUCAAUUGAACCGAAACAUUUGUUUUUCCAAAUCUAUUGGAAGAAACAUACAAAGGAACAAUAAAAAACUUUGCCAAAUUUAAGAUAAAUUGGCAAUCGAAUAAAAUAAACAACCAGAAGUAAAUUAGAUCAAAGAAAAAGAAGCAAAGCGAAUCAAACAAGUCGAUGACGGAACUGUAGAAACCUCCUGCCAUCGGUUUGAAACUAUAAAAGAACUUUUUUUUCUCUCUUAACGGCUAGGGUUUUCUCUCUUGAUAAAACAUUGAUCACAAAAUACAGUUUUUAGUAAUAAUAUAGGGGUUCUUUCAAAAAUAACCUAGAAAUUCAAGUCAAUCCCAAAACCAACCCUUUUUGUCAUUACUAUUCACCAUUGAAAGUUCAUAUACAUCCCUAUGUUUUGAAAAAUUUACAGAAUUGCCAUUAUUAAUUAAUUUUUUAAUUAAUUCGAAAAUGCUAAAAAACCUAUAACACUGAUAACAGCACUUUUCGGGUCCUUAUCAAAUGCAGUAGUAUAUGAGAUGUCGAACCAAUCCUAAGUGAUUCUAAUGCAAAAGGAAUGCAAGUCUAUACUUAAUCUAAUUGCAACCAAUUGAGUGAAGCGAAGUGAACUAAGAACUAGAGUAGAAAUGCAAUAACGAAAUGAUCUUUGUUUCUCAAUAUGAAGCAAGAGGACUCAUGGGAUUAGGGAAUUGACAUUGGGUGAUCAAGUUUCAAUCUAAAGGUGGCAGCUUUUCAAUCAAUCUAUCAACCUUAAGCCUAGACACAAUCCUAAACAAACUCUAUCUCUAGAUGGAUGUUCAUUUGCUAAGGCAACUCAAACAUCAAAUCUCUUUGGUUGAAUGUUACAAAAGCAAUCAUGGAGAACAAGUCUACUAGCCAUCUUAACACCUUUAACAACAAAUCUCUUUGGCAAAGUAUGUUAAAAGCUUAGGAGAGUUGGUUCAAGCAUUUCAUCAAACACCUUGUGGGUGGGAAAUGCCUAAAGCUCAACUUUUGAGAGGCUAACUCAAAAGAUGCUUUGAGAACACUCUACUAGCAAGGAACAAGAGAGAUCUAUACUAAAACACCUUAGAUCUAGCUUAAUCACCCUUGGUCUCCCUAAUCCAUGAAUCCAAAAGGAGUCUACUCACUAAUCUUCAUGAUUAACCUUAAACCCAUGGUUGAUUUAAGAGAAAUCAUGUUGAGAAGCAAGUUUAAUCCAACAAUCACAAAGAAAUAAGAAGAAAAGAAACUAAAGAUUCAAUAUUUCUUCAAGGUUUCAAUGUGUUCUUAAGAGAAAACAAGAUAAUCCCAUCAUUAGGGUCUAAAGAGUAUUUAUAGUAGCCUAAAAACGAGCUGGGUCGACCCAACAAACCUGGGUUGACCCAAGAUAAUUUGGGUAAAAGUUGGUAAAAACAGAUGUGAAUAUUUUUUCUAAGUGUCACAGCUGGUUUUUGACGCGUCCAAUAAGCCGCUGGAGGUGCAAAAAGCCGAUGUGACAUCACAGCUGGUUUUUGACGCGUCGUCACUUGGCCACUGCGAGAAGUCGAAGUUGGGCAGGGAGGUGUGUUUUUCUCCAGCGGUUUGGUGAAACCGCUGCACCAAAAGCCGCUCCAACACUUAGAAUUUUCAGCAGAACUUCUGCACCGGCUUCUCGUCAUGACGCCAGGCCGCUGGGUGACGCUAGGCCGCUGGGUGAUGUGCAUCGGCUUCCUGCAAGGUCAAAAUGCCGCUGCCUGUCACAUGAAGCCGCUGGGACACUUAGUCAUCACGCCAUGAACUCGAAAAACACCAAUCUUGCCUCCAAUCCACCUCCAAUUGCUCCAAAGUCACCAUUUGGCAUCUCCAUCACCUGAUAAGAACAAAUGCAAUGCAAUGCAAACUAAACAAGUCUAAAUGCUAUCCUAGAUGAUCAAAAUGCAUGAUAAAUGAAUGGUAAAAUCUAUUAGAAACACAAGAUAUCAACUCCCCCAAACUUGCCCUUUACUUGUCCACAAGUAAACUUUCAAGAACUUAUUUGGAAAAGAUGUUUGAAGGUGGGAGUUCAUAGCCAAAAGAAACACCAAAAACACUCAACAUGACAUCCUAAAGAAACAUAGCAAAUAGCAUGAGCAACUCUCUUAUCUCUAGCUUCUCUAGGCCUAUCAAGAUACUCUUAUGCCUUUACACAAGAUGCAAUACUCAUCAACCAACAAGUCUUCCUACCAGCUCUCACAUUGAUUCACACACAUACACAAGGUGGAUUCUCACAAAUGGGCACAUGAUCUCAAUCAUUUGGCUAGGUAAACAAAUGGUCUAAAGUGAAUGAAGAGAAGGGUUCAAAUGCAUCAUUCUAAAGUGGUUAUCACUCAAGAACAAGGAGCUUGAUCAUUAUGCAAAAUUUAUCUAAGAUUAGAAGCAACUCAUGCAUACAUGGAUCCAUUCUCAUCAUUCUACCCUUUUCCUAAGUGAUUACAAGUUCUACCCCCAUUCACUUCAUUCCACAACCCAAAUAGCAACUCAUUUACAUGUCUAACCCAAUGAACAAAUUUCUCUUUUUCUUUUCUUUUUACUUAGCCAACAAGGGAUAAUCUUUGCUCAAUGCUUAGCUCUUACUUCUCUUUUCCCUUCCCCACUAUCUUAUUGAUUCUUCUUAUCAUUUUUUUUCUUUUCUUUUCUUUUCUUUUUUUUUUUUUUUUUUUUUUUUUUUAGGGGGAAGGAGUCAAAGACCACAAUCUAGAGCUUUCUUUUCUUUUUAUUCUAAGGUCCCUAAGGCUUUUCUUAUCAAUCUACACUCUUUUGUUCAUCUUUCUCAACUUUUUCACUAUCCAAACCCAAGAUACAAGCUUAUAAAGGACAUAAACCCAACCAUCAUCCUAGAAGCUAGCUCAAAUCAUGAUCCUAUGCUAGCAAGAGAUGAGAACAAAUCCAUGUCGCCUCCAAUACUCUCAAGAUUUUGCACAUGACAAGCUAUCAGAAAAGGCAUCACUCAUGCAAAUUAAUGUUGGCUUCAAAGAAAGGUAAGGGUUCAAGGGUGAGGGAGUACCAUUUGGGUUAACAAAGAGUGGUACAAUGGAAAAAGAUAACCCAAAUGUGUAUGGGAGCCAUGAUCAAGUAUGCAAAUGCCCAUAAGUGAGAGAAAUUAAGUUCAUUUAAGCCUAAGUUCAGUUCGGAGCUGGUUUUCAGAACAAUGUCAAUGACAAGCAAGCAUACAAGUUUCAAGAAGAGUUUUCAAGGCACGAAGCAUGCAAGGCUUUCAAGAGAUGCACAAGCUACUUGAUAUGCUUAACUAGGGUGUCAAAUUCAGUGCAAACAAGUGUUCUUUACAAGGCAUUAUCAACAGCUGCUCCAUAUGCAAGUGAAUGCAAUCUAUAUGAUCUAGACUCAAUCCUAAGAAUGCAAGUGAUGCAACUACAUGAUUCUUUAUGCAUUUUUCAAUUUUU